rnacentral:rRNA from 1 species
GACGAACGCUGGCGGCGUGCUUAACACAUGCAAGUCGAACGGUAAGGCCUUCGGGUACACGAGUGGCGAACGGGUGAGUAACACGUGGGUGAUCUGCCCUGCACUUUGGGAUAAGCCUGGGAAACUGGGUCUACUACCGAAUACGACUACGGCCUGCAUGGGGUGUGGUGGAAAGCUUUUGCGGUGUGGGAUGGGCCCGCGGCCUAUCGGCUUGUUGGUGAGGUCACGGCUCACCCAGGCGACGACGGGUAGCCGGCCUGAGAGGGUGACCGGCCACACUGGGACUGAGAUACGGCCCAGACUCCUACGGGAGGCAGCAGUGGGGAAUAUUGCACAAUGGGCGCAAGCCUGAUGCAGCGACGCCGCGUGAGGGAUGACGGCCUUCGGGUUGUAAACCUCUUUCAGUAGGGACGAAGCGCAAGUGACGGUACCUAUAGAAGAAGGACCGGCCAACUACGUGCCAGCCGCCGCCGUAA